rnacentral:rRNA from 1 species
AUUGAACGCUGGCGGCAGGCCUAACACAUGCAAGUCGAACGAGUGGCGUACGGGUGAGUAAUGUCUGGGAAACUGCCUGAUGGAGGGGGAUAACUACUGGAAACGGUAGCUAAUACCGCAUACCAUCGGAUGUGCCCAGAUGGGAUUAGCUAGUAGGUGGGGUAAAGGCUCACCGAGGCGACGAUCCCGAGCUGGUCUGAGAGGAUGACCAGCCACACUGGAACGGAGACACGGUCCGGACUCCUACGGGAGGCAGCAGUGGGGAAUUUUGGACAAUGGGCGCAAGCCUGAUCCAGUCAUGCCGCGUGUCUGAAGAAGGCCUUCGGGUUGUAAAGGACUUUUGUCAGGGAAGCGGUACCUGAAGAAUAAGCACCGGCUAACUACGUGCCAGCCGCCGCGGUAAUAC